CAGGUUCGAAUCCUGCACGACCCACCAAUCGCUAAGGUGGAAGCGGUAGUAAAACGUGAAGGAUAACGUUGCGUCAGCAACGGCCCGAAGGGCGAGACGAAGUCGAGUCAUCCUGCACGACCCACCA
rnacentral:sRNA from 1 species